rnacentral:siRNA from 1 species
UCAGUCCCGGUAAACACGCACUA